rnacentral:rRNA from 1 species
AGAUUGAACGCUGGCGGCAUGCCUAACACAUGCAAGUCGAACGGGAGUAGCAAUACUCUAGUGGCGGACGGGUGAGGAAUACGUAGGAAUUUGCCCUUAAGUGGGGGAUAACCCGGGGAAACCCGGAUUAAUACCGCAUGACCUCGAAAGAGCAAAGUGGGGGAUCGCAAGACCUCACGCUUUUGGAGAAGCCUACGUCGGAUUAGCUAGUUGGUGAGGUAAUGGCUCACCAAGGCGACGAUCCGUAACUGGUCUGAGAGGAUGAUCAGUCACCCCGGAACUGAGACACGGUCCGACUCCGUACGGGACGCAAGCAGGUGGGGAAUAGUUGGACAAGUGGGCGCAAGCCUGACUCCAGCAAUGCCGCGGUAGUGUAGAAGUAACGGUCCGUUACGGGUUAGUAAA